CUAAACAUUGCAUUAGCCAGCAGAGAACAGAGGAACAGCCAGGCCUGCUCUCUUACCAAUUUCCGGAAACAUUCCCACACAUUCAGUUUCUCAGAAGAUUCUCACCCAGUGUGAAUGUGGAAGGAGGCAAAAUGUAACUCACACUGAUCUGCUAGUGCCAGUUUGAACUACCAGCAGAAGUUCUGGAGGUUCAAGGUCAUAGAAGGGGGUUUGGACUUGGUUCUGGUGAGGACUUUGCAGCAUCAAGCAUCGUGACAAAAGCAUGUAUAUUUGGGACUGGAAGAUGGCACUGCCAAAUAAAGAGCUAAAGAGAGCAGAAGAGAGCAGCUGCUGUGUAGCAGUUUCCUUCAAGACUGAAACACAUCAUCCCAUGGGAAGCUCUUUAAGACAGAAGGUAAAACAACUCAAAAUAGCUCCAUGAAGUUCCUAAAUCUGAGGACCCUCUCUCCAUACAAUAAACAAUAAAGACUGCUAAAAGUUGUCUCAGAAAAGCCAAGCUGCAAAGAAGAAUCUAAAACCAGCUGGCUGGAAGAAGCAAACCAUCUGAGCUGUCUGGAAAAGGUUUACACAAUUGAGUCACUUGAAAAAGACACUCUCCAACCUGUAUGGCUGUGUAUAGGCCAUACAGUGUGCUCCAGAAUAUGCAGCUGUCAUUGAGUGAUUCUGCUUGUACAAGUAACCCCUCACCCAUAUUUCUCUAAGUAAGCCUAAUAAAACUCAUUAGUUCACCAGUUGGACUUUGGUGAUAUCUGCACUUUACUC